CCUUAUACCACCCUCUCUCUCCUCUCACCCUUUCCCCUUUAGGAAACCCUAGCCGCCGCCUUAUACCCCUCUUCUCUUUCAUCCCAAAAAUGGCAACGGCACAGAGAUGCGUUUGCGCAGUCUCGUACCAUCUAUUUCAAGCUAACAAUUAAUGCUUCAACAUUUUUUCACUCAAAACCGUCCAAACGCGGUCCGGCCUUGGGCCAAAGGCCCAACAGGCAAAAUUCUUUCAAAAAUGCAUAUCGAGUCCGAAGAGAAAUGGAAGCUAACAUAAAUGCAAAGAAGGCCCAGCCAUGGGUGAAAAUGGCCAACUAGGGGCUUGGUAAGCCCCUAGCCUUCCAUUCUCCUUAUUUAUUUAUUUAUGAUUUCUUGGUACGAUUUGGUUGUAGUUGUGUAUUUGUAUGAACUUGUAAGAAACUCAUAAAUUAUAUUGGAAUCUUUAUUGUUUGAA